UACAGAGGGUGCGAGCGUUGUCCGGAAUCACUGGGCGUAAAGGGUGCGUAGGUGGCAUGUUAAGUUUGAUGUGAAAGCUCAGGGCUUAACCCUGAAAUGGCAUUGAAUACUAGCGUGCUGGAGGUUUGGAGGGGGGACUGGAAUUCUCGGUGUAGCAGUGAAAUGCGUAGAUAUCGAGAGGAACACCAGUGGCGAAGGCGAGUCCCUGGACAACACCUGACACUGAGGCACGAAAGCCGGGGGAGCAAACAGG
rnacentral:rRNA from 1 species